rnacentral:tRNA from 1 species
GGGGAUAUAGCACAGUUGGUAGCGCGAUACGUUCGCAACGUAUAGGUCACGAGUUCGCGCGAGGGCGAAGCCCGAAGCUCCACCG